rnacentral:rRNA from 1 species
AGUGAACGCUGGCGGUAGGCCUAACACAUGCAAGUCGAACGGCAGCACAGUAAGAGCUUGCUCUUACGGGUGGCGAGUGGCGGACGGGUGAGGAAUACAUCGGAAUCUACUUUUUCGUGGGGGAUAACGUAGGGAAACUUACGCUAAUACCGCAUACGACCUACGGGUGAAAGCAGGGGAUCUUCGGACCUUGCGCGAUUGAAUGAGCCGAUGUCGGAUUAGCCAGUUGGCCGGGUAAAGGCCCACCAAGGCGACGAUCCGUAGCUGGUCUGAGAGGAUGAUCAGCCACACUGGAACUGAGACACGGUCCAGACUCCUACGGGAGGCAGCAGUGGGGAAUAUUCGACAAUGGGCGCAAGCCUGCUCCAGCCAUACCGCGUGGGUGAAGAAGGCCUUCGGGUUGUAACGCCCUUUUGUUGGGAAAGAAAAGCAGCAGGUUAAUACCCCGCUGUUCUGACGGUACCCAAAGAAUAAGCACCGGCUAACUUCGUG